rnacentral:rRNA from 1 species
AAAAGCUCGUAGUUGGAUCUCAGAUCCGGCCGGACGGUCCGCCUACCGGUGGUUACUGUUCGCGCCGAUYGUUCAGGCAGUUAUUCUCGAUGAUCUUCACCGGUUGUCUUGGGUGACUGCCAAGUUUACUUUGAAAAAAUUAGAGUGCUCAAAGCGGGCGUGACGCCUGAAUAUUUGUGCAUGGAAUAAUGGAAUAGGACCUCGGUUCUAUUUUGUUGGUUUUCGGAACACGAGGUAAUGAUUAAGAGGGACAGACGGGGGCAUUCGUAUUGCGACGCUAGAGGUGAAAUUCUUGGACCGUCGCAAGACGAACUACUGCGAAAGCAUUUGCCAAGAAUGUUUCCAUUAAUCAAGAACGAAAGUUAGAGGUUCGAAGGCGAUCAGAUACCGCCCUAGUUCUAACCAUAAACGAUGCCAGCCAGCGAUCCGGCUGUGUUCCUCAAAUGACACGCCGGGCAGCUUCCGGGAAACCAAAGCUUUUGGGUUCCGGGGGAAGUAUGGUUGCAAAGCUGAAACUUAAAGGAAUUGACGGAAGGGCACCACCAGAAAUGGAGCCUGCGGCUUAAUUUGACUCAACACAGGAAAACCUACCCGGUCCGGACAACAGGAAGGAUUGACAGAUUAAGAGCUCUUUCUUGAUUCUGUGGGUGGUGGUGCAUGGCCGUUCUUAGUUGGUGGGGCGACUUGUCUGGUUAAUUCCGAUAACGAACGAGACUCUAGCCUACUAAAUAGACGUUCCCAUCAUCUUCUGUGGGACGUUCUUCUUAGAGGGACAAGCGGCGUUUAGCCGCACGAGACAGAGCAAUAACAGGUCUGGGAUGCCCUUAGAUGUCCGGGGCCGCACGCGCGCUACAUUGAAGGAAUCAGCGUGUGCUUUCCUUGUCCGAAAGGACUAGGUAACCCGUUGAACCUCCUUCGUGCUGGGGAUUGGCGRUKGUAAUUGACGCCAUGAACGAGGAAUUCCCAGUAAGCACGAGUCAUCAGCUCGUGUUGAUUACGUCCCUGCCCUUUGUCCACACCGCCCGUCGCUACUACCGAUUGAAUGAUUUAGUGAGGUCUUCGGACUGGCGCUCGGAUUGGCCYUCGUGGUCGAGCCGCUGUGCCGGAAAGAUGACCAAACUUGAUCAUUUAGAGGAAGUAAAAGUCGUAACAAGGUUUU